rnacentral:rRNA from 1 species
UACAGAGGUCUCAAGCGUUUGUUCGGAUUCAUUGGGCGUAAAGGGUGUGUAGGUGGCGCCGUAAGUCGGGUGUAAAAUUUCGGAGCUUAACUCCGAAACUGCAUUCGAUACUGCGGUGCUUGAGGACUGGAGAGGAGACUGGAAUUCAUGGUGUAGCAGUGAAAUGCGUAGAGAUCAUGAGGAAGACCAGUGGCGAAGGCGGGUCUCUGGACAGUUCCUGACAGCUGAGACACGAAGGCCAGGGGAGCAAACGGG